AACGAACGCUGGCGGCAGGCUUAACACAUGCAAGUCGAACGCCCCGCCAGGGGAGUGGCAGACGGGUGAGUAACGCGUGGGAACAUACCCUUUCCUGCGGAAUAGCUCCGGGAAACUGGAAUUAAUACCGCAUACGCCCUACGGGGGAAAGAUUUAUCGGGGAAGGAUUGGCCCGCGUUGGAUUAGCUAGUUGGUGGGGUAAAGGCCUACCAAGGCGACGAUCCAUAGCUGGUCUGAGAGGAUGAUCAGCCACAUUGGGACUGAGACACGGCCCAAACUCCUACGGGAGGCAGCAGUGGGGAAUAUUGGACCAUGGGCGCAAGCCUGAUCCAGCCAUGCCGCGUGAGUGAUGAAGUCCUUAGGGUUGUAAAGCUCUUUCACCGAUGAAGAUAAUGACGGUAGUCGGAGAAGAAGCCCCGGCUAACUUCGUG
rnacentral:rRNA from 1 species